UUGCGGCUAUGUCUUGUUGAAACACCGGCUCCCAUAAGAUCACUGAAAUUAAGUAACGACGAGCUUGGUUAUUACCUAGAUGGGUGACCGCUUGGGAAUACCAGGUGUU
rnacentral:rRNA from 1 species